rnacentral:rRNA from 1 species
UACGUAGGGGGCAAGCAUUGUCCGGAAUCAUUGGGCGUAAAGCGCGUGUAGGCGGCCUUGUAAGUCCGUUCUGAAAGCCCGGGGCUCAACCCCGGGAGGCGGAUGGAUACUGCAAGGCUCGAGUACGGAAGAGGCGAGUGGAAUUCCCGGUGUAGCGGUGAAAUGCGCAGAUAUCGGGAGGAACACCAAUGGCGAAGGCAGCUCGCUGGGACGUUACUGACGCUGAGACGCGAAAGCGUGGGGAGCAAACAGG